rnacentral:SRP_RNA from 1 species
GCCGGGCAUGGUGGUGCGCACCUGUAGUCCCAGCUACUCGGGAGGCUGAGGUGGGAGGAUCGCUUGAGUCCAGGAGUUCUGGGCUGCAGUGCAAUAUGCCGAUUGGGUGUCCGCACUAAGUUCGGCAUCAAUAUGGUGACCUCCCAGGAGUGGGGGACCACCACGUUGCCUAAGGAGGGGUGAACCAGCCCAGGUUGGAAACAGCAGGUCAAAACUCCCGUGCUGAUCAGUAGUGGGAUCACGCCUGUGAGUAGCCACUGCACUCCAGCCUGGGCAAUAUAGUGAGACCCUGUCUCU